UGCAGUCGAGCGGUAAGGCCUUUCGGGGUACACGAGCGGCGAACGGGUGAGUAACACGUGGGUGAUCUGCCCUGCACUUCGGGAUAAGCCUGGGAAACUGGGUCUAAUACCGGAUAUGACCUCCUAUCGCAUGGUGGGUGGUGGAAAGAUUUAUCGGUGCAGGAUGGGCCCGCGGCCUAUCAGCUUGUUGGUGGGGUAAUGGCCUACCAAGGCGACGACGGGUAGCCGACCUGAGAGGGUGACCGGCCACACUGGGACUGAGACACGGCCCAGACUCCUACGGGAGGCAGCAGUGGGGAAUAUUGCACAAUGGGCGAAAGCCUGAUGCAGCGACGCCGCGUGAGGGAUGACGGCCUUCGGGUUGUAAACCUCUUUCAGCAGGGACGAAGCGCAAGUGACGGUACCUGCAGAAGAAGCACCGGCUAACUACGUGCCAGCAGCCGCGGUAAUACGUAGGGUGCAAGCGUUGUCCGGAAUUACUGGGCGUAAAGAGUUCGUAGGCGGUUUGUCGCGUCGUUUGUGAAAACCAGCAGCUCAACUGCUGGCUUGCAGGCGAUACGGGCAGACUUGAGUACUGCA
rnacentral:rRNA from 1 species